GUUGUUGGAGGCAAAGAGAAGCUUCAGCCCGUCGAAGCUGGAGCUGCACGCAGACGAGGAGAGACAGUGUCUCCAGAGAAGAGUCCCCGAGGACACGACCGACCCCAGCCCGUCUCUGAGGGACGGACACCCGUGUGAACACCCGGAUGAGCAAGGAAACUGGAAAAGAAGACCAAGAAGCAAACCUGAAAGGUCAUCUUUUUGCCUCUCAUCAUCAUCAGUUAAAGGAGCGUGUGGUUUCACCCCGAGUCUGAGGACUCACAGCUCCUGCAUUGAGUCUGAGUGGACAGAUGAAAAUGACAACAUCCUUCACGGUUCCUGGGAUGUGUGUGUGACACAGCAGCAGACUGAAGACCGUGAUCUCAGCGCUGAGCUCACUCAG